CCAACGAAGAUACAACCGAAAACCCAGAAAACCAGAUAUCCCGCCUGUCCUCCUCCCCCGUGGCCUCGCGCACGAUCUCUACGGAUGAUAGGGCAAAAACACACCCACGUGAGGCCGCCGCCGCUGCCCCCAUCCACCUCUACCCCCGGCCAUCCUCCUCUGCUGCAACUUUUGCUCGCCCCCGUUAGCCCCAGGUUCUCUCUUCCACGUGGCCUCUAACUACCGUGGUGGAGCUGGCCGUAGUGGUGCUGGUGAUACAACGGUCCAGAUUUCAAGCCGGGGUGAGCAGUGGCGUCGCGGAACUAGGGUGGUGGUGGCCGGCUGUGCGAGAGCUAAUGGAGAGAGGCCCCCAACAACAUCAGGAUUACACGACUGGCGUAGACAGCAUCCAACUCUCUGUUGGCACCGCCGAGAUCGACUAUGAGUUCAUAUAUAACUGUGCCUUCGGGGAGGAGCAGUAUUGAUAGAUGAAGUGAGAUUGGAUCGACGGCGAGGCCCGCGUUGGUGGUGGUGACCGGGGACUACGGCGACGCGUGGAUGUUCUCGUGACUGGGGACAAUAUCUUUCUUGUGUCCUAUACUUAACUACUUGUUCCUUAUCUGUUCCUAGAUUAAUUUUAAGUUUUCUUCGUGAUGGAACCCAUUGCAAUCACCAAUCUGUACUCGUAGUAUGUUCUUUCCCCUUAGGAACUUCUAAGGUGGGCCUGUUAUUUUGAUAUCAGGAACUAUGGUGUCCCCACUGCACUUGAUCCGUGAGCUGUAUGAGACCUUCCGCAACUUCAGAAUUCACAUUUCAGAUUAUGUACGUGACAGGAAGAUAACUUCCAAGAUGAAUCCAGGUGCUACAUCAGAUGAGCUCGAUACGAGUGAUGUCAGAUGUAUUAUUUGCCGUGAAUAGAUGACCAAAUCAAAGAGGCUACAUAGAGCUCCAAUUACCCCCUCCCAGAUAAUGGACGUGCAGGAUCAGCAUGACAUCAUGGAGCUCAAAACCUGGAUUUCAG